CCUACGGGAGGCAGCAGUGAGGAAUAUUGGUCAAUGGCCGAAAGGCUGAACCAGCCAUGCCGCGUGAAGGUCAGUGCCCUAUGGGCGUUAAACUUCUUUUGUGCGGGAGCAAUAAUGGUCACGUGUGGCCAGACGAGAGUACCGUACGAAUAAGCAUCGGCUAACUCCGGGCCAGCAGCCGCGGUAAUACGGGGGAUGCAAGCGUUAUCCGGAGUUAUUGGGUUUAAAGGGUGCGUAGGCUGUGAGGUAAGUCAGCGGUGAAAUGCCCCCGCUCAACGGGGUGAAGUGCCAUUGAUACUGCCUGGCUGGAGUGCAGAUGAGGUGGGAGGAAUGUGUGGUGUAGCGGUGAAAUGCAUAGAUAUCACGAAGAACACCGAUUGCGAAGGCAUCUCACGAAUCCGCGAUUGACGCUGAUGCACGAAAGCGUGGGUAUCAAACAGGAUUAGAUACCCGUGUAGUC
rnacentral:rRNA from 1 species